CCAUCCCAGUUCGGAUUGCAGGCUGCAACCCGCCUGUAUGAAGUUGGAAUCGCUAGUAAUCGCGGAUCAGCAUGCCGCGGUGAAUACGUUCCCGGGCCUUGUACACACCGCCCGUCACACCAUGAGAGUCGGGAACACCCGAAGUCCGUAGCCUAACCGCAAGGGGGGCGCGGCCGAAGGUGGGUUCGAUAAUUGGGGUGAAGUCGUAACAAGGUAUC
rnacentral:rRNA from 1 species